rnacentral:rRNA from 1 species
GACGAACGCUGGCGGCGUGCUUAACACAUGCCAGUCGAACGGAAAGGCCCUGCUUUUGUGGGGUGCUCGAGUGGCGAACGGGUGAGUAACACGUGAGUAACCUGCCCUUGACUUUGGGAUAACUUCAGGAAACUGGGGCUAAUACCGGAUAGGAGCUCCUGCUGCAUGGUGGGGGUUGGAAAGUUUCGGCGGUUAGGGAUGGACUCGCGGCUUAUCAGCUUGUUGGUGGGGUAGUGGCUUACCAAGGCUUUGACGGGUAGCCGGCCUGAGAGGGUGACCGGCCACAUUGGGACUGAGAUACGGCCCAGACUCCUACGGGAGGCAGCAGUGGGGAAUAUUGCACAAUGGGCGGAAGCCUGAUGCAGCAACGCCGCGUGCGGGAUGACGGCCUUCGGGUUGUAAACCGCUUUCGCCUGUGACGAAGCGUGAGUGGCGGUAAUGGGUAAAGAAGCACCGGCUAACUACGUG